AGAGUGAACGCUGGCGGUAGGCCUAACACAUGCAAGUCGAACGGCAGCACAGUGGUAGCAAUACCAUGGGUGGCGAGUGGCGGACGGGUGAGGAAUACAUCGGAAUCUACCUUUUCGUGGGGGAUAACGUAGGGAAACUUACGCUAAUACCGCAUACGCCCUUCGGGGGAAAGCCGGGGAUCGCAAGACCUGGCGCGGAUAGAUGAGCCGAUGUCGGAUUAGCUAGUUGGUGAGGUAAUGGCUCACCAAGGCGACGAUCCGUAGCUGGUCUGAGAGGAUGAUCAGCCACACUGGAACUGAGACACGGUCCAGACUCCGUACGGGAGCAGCAGUGGGGAAUAUUAGGACAAGUGGGCG
rnacentral:rRNA from 1 species